CGAGGGUGCAAGCGUUAUCCGGAGUUCACUGGGUUUAAAGGGAGCGUAGUGGGAUGGUAAGUCAGUGGUGAAAUCUCCGGGCUUAACUCGGAAACUGCCGUUGAUACUAUCAUUCUUGAAUAUUGUGGAGGUAAGCGGAAUAUGUCAUGUAGCGGUGAAAUGCUUAGAUAUGACAUAGAACACCGAUAGCGAAGGCAGCUUGCUACACAAUUAUUGACACUGAGGCUCGAAAGCGUGGGGAUCAAACAGGAUUAGAUACCCUGGUAGUCCACGCCCUAAACGAUGGAUACUCGACAUACGCGAUACACAGUGUGUGUCUGAGCGAAAGCAUUAAGUAUCCCACCUGGGAAGUACGACCGCAAGGUUG
rnacentral:rRNA from 1 species